rnacentral:lncRNA from 1 species
GGAAGCCAUAUAUUUGUUGGAAAUUUACACAUGACCUGGGCCGUGAUAUUCGAAUUUUAUCCUGAGCGUUAGCGAGGGAUAAAAUUAACGAAUAUCACGGCCCAGGCCAUGUGUAAAUUUACAACAAAUCUAUGGCUUCCAUGAAUUAUUUCGAUUCUAAUAGGACAAAUACGAUCAUUAAAAAACUGAAGCGAUGAUGGGUAUACCGUGUGUGUGGCUGUUCUAUUUUACCCACUGUUCGAUAAUUGUAAAACAAAUCUAAUAAACCUGCAUGAAUGAUUUCUUAACUAACCGCUAGAAAUAAAAUGUGAUUACUUUUUUUACUUCUCAGUAAACCCAACAUUUGCAAUUUUAGAUUUUUUUAUCGUAAGCUACCGUCAAAUUCACUGUUGACAUGUUGUAACCAAGGAGCCGCCAUGUUGACUUGCUGAAAUCAGUAAAUGUGCGAAUAUUGCAAUAGAACAGAAAACAAGC